GACGAACGCUAGCGGCGGGCUUAACACAUGCAAGUCGAGCGGAAAGGCCCUGCUUUUGUGGGGUGCUCGAGUGGCGAACGGGUGAGUAACACGUGAGUAACCUGCCCUUUACUGUGGGAUAACUUCAUGAAACUGGGGCUAGUACCGGAUAGGAGCUCCUGCUGCAUGGUGGGGGUUGGAAAGUUUCGGCGGUUGGGGAGGGACUCGCGGCUUAUCAGAUUGUUGGUGGGGUAGUGGAUGAGCAAGGCCUUGACGGGUGGCCGUCCUGAGAGGGUGAGCGGAUCAACCGCGCUUGGACUAAGACACGGCCCAGUCUGGGAGGCAGCAGAGCGGAAGAGUGUCUUAUGCAAGGGAGGCUACUCUAGUCCAGCCAUGCCGCGGAUGACGGCAAUCGGGUAGUAUAGUGAAUUUGUUUCUGCCGAAGAGUUAGUGACGGUACCGGGUAAAGAAGCCCCGGCUAACUACGUG
rnacentral:rRNA from 1 species